GAUGAACGCUGGCGGCGUGCCUAAUACAUGCAAGUCGAGCGGAAGGACGCGACGCUUGCUUCUCUGAUGUUAGCGGCGGACGGGAGAGUAACACGUGGAUAACCUACUUAUAAGACUGGGAUAACUUCGGGAAACCGUAGCUAAUACCGGAGAAUAUUUUGAACCGCGUGGUGGAAUAGUGAAAGUCGGUCUUUGUGGCUCUAAUAGAUGGAUCCCGGCUGCAUUAGCUGGUUGUGAAGGUCAAGGCUUACGAAGGCAACGAUGCAUAGCCGACCUGAGAGGGUGGUCGGCCGCCCUGGAGCUGAACCACGGUCCAGACUCCUACGAGACGCAGCAGUAGGCAACGUUCCGCAGUGGGCGGAAGCCUGACGGAGCGAGGGGGCGUGAGUGAUAGAGGCCUUCGGAUCGUAAAACUCUGUUACUAGGGAAGAACAUAUGUGUAAGUAACUGUGCACAUCUUGACGGUACCUAAUCAGAAAGCAACGGCUAACUACGUG
rnacentral:rRNA from 1 species